rnacentral:tRNA from 1 species
GGGCGCAUAGCUCAGUUGGUUAGAGCGUUACACUGAUAAUGUAAAGGUCCCUGGUUCGAAUCCAGGUGCGCCCACCA